GACAGAGGUGCCGAGCGUUAGGCGGAAUCACUGGGCUUAAAGCGUGUGUAGGCGGAUCGUUAAGUACCUUGUGAAAUCCCACGGCUCAACCGUGGAACUGCUGGGUAUACUGGCGGUCUUGAGCCACCUAGGGGCGAGCGGAACAAGCGGUGGAGCGGUGAAAUGCGUAGAUAUCGCUUGGAACGCCGACGGUGAAAACAGCUCGCUGGGGGGUGUGCUGACGCUGAGACACGAAAGCCAGGGGAGCGAACGGG
rnacentral:rRNA from 1 species